GGGUGCGUAGCUCAGCGGGAGAGCAUUCGCUUCACACGCGAAGGGUCACAGGUUCGAUCCCUGUCGCGCCCA
rfam:Methylobacterium extorquens AM1, complete genome.